rnacentral:rRNA from 1 species
UACGUAGGUGGCAAGCGUUGUCCGGAUUUACUGGGCGUAAAGGAUGCGUAGGCGGACAUUUAAGUCAGAUGUGAAAUACCCGAGCUUAACUUGGGUGCUGCAUUUGAAACUGGGUGUCUAGAGUGCAGGAGAGGUAAGUGGAAUUCCUAGUGUAGCGGUGAAAUGCGUAGAGAUUAGGAAGAACACCAGUGGCGAAGGCGACUUGCUGGACUGUAACUGACGCUGAGGCAUGAAAGCGUGGGGAGCAAACAGG